UUUUAUUGUUGAAGUUUUUAUAUUACCUUCGCUAUCUUCAACAAUCCUGCAGAAACGAUUGUAAUACGCUCACUUAGCUGCAGCGGCAAUAGUUGUUCGUUUUCCUCCUUAAACCAGCUCGUAACUUUAUUUGUCUUCAUGGGUUUGUCCAAUUGUUCGAGAACUGCUUCGAGGACAUAAUCACCCAGCAAGUAAUGGGUACUGAAACUCCAACAUAUUCAAAGAAAUUUCAAUAACACCACUACAUUACACAUAUACGCAACAAAGGGUAAAAUAAGCAUAAAAAAUUAACUCAACUCUCCUCUUGUACAGCACCCUGAAUGAGAAAAAAGGAACAACCGAAGUUCUCAUGUGUUUGAACAAGUUUUGGUUUGAGCUAUAUCAUGGCUGCUUGUGGAGUAUUAGAUGUGUGUCAACUGGGUUUUGCCAAUGAGCUAGAAGGUAAAGCAGAUGCAGAAUUUUUGGACUUACCGGCACCUCAGGUGGCAGUACCAUUAGCAGCUAAAACAUAGAAAUCUGAGGGAGGAAUUUUUUGGUACAUUUUCACCUUGUAUUGAGUAAUCAUAACGUUGUUGUAUCGUUUUACAAGGACAUGUAUUCACCGAAAGUAGUUCAAUGGGAAUACUACAGCUAAAGAACGGUA